rnacentral:rRNA from 1 species
ACGGGAGGCAGCAGUGGGGAGUAUUGGGCAAUGGGCGAAAGCCUGACCCAGCAACGCCGCGUGAAGGAAGAAGGUCUUCGGAUUGUAAACUUCUUUUAUGAGGGACGAAGGACGUGACGGUACCUCAUGAAUAAGCCACGGCUAACUACGUGCCAGCAGCCGCGGUAAUACGUAGGUGGCGAGCGUUAUCCGGAUUUACUGGGUUUAAAGGGUGCGUAGGCUGUGCCGCAAGUCAGUGGUGAAAGCCCGGGGCUUAACUCCGGAACUGCCAUUGAUACUGUGGUGCUGGAAUACGGAUGCCGUGGGAGGAAUGAGUAGUGUAGCGGUGAAAUGCAUAGAUAUUACUCAGAACACCGAUUGCGAAGGCAUCUCACGAAUCCGUCAUUGACGCUGAGGCACGAAAGCGUGGGGAUCAAACAGGAUUAGAUACCCUGGUA